rnacentral:rRNA from 1 species
AUACGGAGGGUGCAAGCGUUACUCGGAAUCACUGGGCGUAAAGCGCGCGCAGGCGGCUAUUUAAGUUGGAUGUGAAAACCUACGGCUCAACCGUAGAACUGCAUCCAAAACUAUUUAGCUAGAGUGUGGGAGAGGAAGAUGGAAUUAGUUGUGUAGGGGUAAAAUCCGUAGAGAUAACUAGGAAUACCAAAAGCGAAGGCAAUCUUCUGGAACACUACUGACGCUGAGGCGCGAAAGCGUGGGGAGCAAACAGGAUUAGAAACCCUAGUAGUCC